AAAAAAAUGUCAAAGAAAAUACAAACCAUGAAUAAAUCUUGAUAUCUAAAAAAAAAAAACAAAAAAUAAAAAUAAAUAAAUAACAAUAUGGUGAGAUCGUUGGAUAUAUAUCGUAAAACCAUAGGAAAAAAUCAAGUAAAAAAAAAAAUAACAUGAGGAAAAUCUUGUGGAAAGCAUAUAUUUAACCCAGGAAAUAAGAUAAAUAAAAAUUAGCAGCAGCAUGUGCAGCCUCGACACUGCACAUCACCCACAGCAGAUAACUCAUCAGCAGCCAGUACAGCCUCAACACGGCAUAUGCCGAAAAGCAGGUAAAUCAUAAGCAGCAGCAAUUACAGUAGCAGUAACGUCGACGUCACGAUCAGCACAUUAUCACCUAACAGCAACAGCAUCAUCGGCCUACACUCGCCGCUGGGAAAAAAGUAAUAGGUAUACAUCUCAGAGGUAAAACAUAUAAAAGUAAGUCGUAGAGGCCGCUAUCACGAAUUCUUAGAUGGGCAAUGGUUCCAUACUGUCCCAAGGCGGGGGGUCAGUUCGUGUCUUCAUUCUCUCCCGAAGCGAGGGAGGAUUGACUGAAUAUACCCUGCCCAAGAAGACUCGUUACAAGUUUAAUUGUAAAUAUAAAAAUUUGACGCUGAUGUAUCAAAAUAAAGUUUUACUUAACUUCAUUUAAGUCAGUCUAUAACUCCGAAGUCAGUCAGUUAUUUAUACCAUGAAUUUCUCAAAAUUUAGUGCGUAAAUAUGUUUCUCCCUUAUUCUAAUUAUUCGAAGAUGAUUUACAAUUAAAUAUAUUGAUGACUCUUUUGUUCAUUCAAUUGUUCUACUCAUUAAAUUCUCUUAUUAUUAUUUAGAAAAAUAAAAAAUAUCUAUGAAAAAAUGCAAAUUAAUGAGUUACAUUGCUUUUAAGGUCUUCAUCAGAAGAUUAUGCAAGACGUUUAUAUGAUUAAGUUAUGACGCCGAGGAUGGCUUUCCAAGUAUUCAUCCCACGAUGGAAGGCCAAAAAGGUUUGAAAAGGUUCUGAAAUUGGAUAUUUUAGAUUUGUUUAGCACGCAUGCCGGUCAACAAUUGAAAACAAGAAAAAAAUGCGACAUCAAGAGCGAAUAGUGCAACUUUUAAGGGAAAUUAAAGAUGAGCUUCAGUCUUACCAUGGCAGCAACUUAAGGCCACCCAAAGAAAAAAACGAUUUAAUUCGGCUAUAAAGCGUUGGAAAGACCUCAGAGAAACGUUGACGUCGUCGCUAAAAUAAAUUGCGGGACCUACAGAACUUAAAUACUGAAUUUCAAAAUUUUGCUGGCGAAUGCGAUGAAGAGCUGCACAAGCAUUUGCGAAUUUUUCCAUAUUUCUUGACUCGUGCUUUGCAAUGAACAUCAUUUUAUUCCUGGUUGAUUGGACGGAAUGCGGGUUUCAUCUACGCAGCUUCAAUAAAUAUUAAAUAUUUGAAUCAUCGUUCAUUGCACAGCAAAGCGUGAGGACCACAAAAAAAGGACUCCACCAAGUUACUUACCAGGAGUACCAAAUUACAUGUAAAACCACGUUUCUGUGUUGCCUAUAAUAUGCUACUGAUUACAUUUGGCUCAAAGUACCUCUAGCUUUUCAUGUACCAUUACCGAUGUAAUAACAGGAAAGGUGCGUGUAUAACACUAAAAUAAAAAUCGUUCCUCGCCAUGCAUUGACCAGCCUCCAGACCGCAACAACUCCAAAAUAAAAGCAAAGUAAUCACCGAAAGUAUUUGUGUUCUCCGUCACUAACACCAAUUUUCUUUAAAAUGUACUCAAAAGCAGCGAAACUUCGAGAAAAUGUUACAUGCAAUGAUAUGUACACAUUUUUAUAUGUACAUUUUUAUAGAGAAGAGUUGAUUACAAGACCAAAAAUAGAAAAAAUUAUUUUAAAAUUUUUUUUUAGUUCAAUUUACAUUUCCUUUUUCUUGUAAACGCAACAUUUAAUCAUCAAAACUAACGUAAAACGUGAGCUAUUAA